ensembl:lncRNA LINC00513 long intergenic non-protein coding RNA 513
CAGAGUUGAUCACACUUAACAAUAUGUGCAGGCAGGACCGAAAAAAGGUGUGGUGCCUUCCAGCCCAUAAAUCAAAGUUUUCUCUUGUCACUGCCGUGUAAGAAGUGCCUUUUGCCUCCUGCCAUGAUUCUGAGGCUUCCCCAGCCAUGUGGAACUAUGACGCCUUGCUGUGUUGCCCAGGGUGGUCUCUAAUUCCUGGCCUUUAGCAAUUCUCCCGCCUUGGCCUCCUAAAGCACUGGGGUUACAGGCAUGAACCACUGUGCCCAGCCUGCAUGAUGUAAUCUCCAAAUUGAGGGCAGGAGAGAGAGUGGUCUCACAACGGAAGGGCACCAGCCACUGAGAAGUCCUAAGGCCGUGUUUGAGUUCUGGCUCAUCUUUUUUGCUAAUUUGCUCUUAUGCAUAUCACCCAACCUCGCUAAGCCAGUUUCAUCAUCAGCGAGAACAGCACACUGACAUGCAGGGCCAGCUCAGGCGCUACCACAAGCUACACAUCCGUCCAUUCGUUUAAUCUUCACAGCAGCCCUGGAGGAAACACAGCACAUUCACAAACAUCUGAAGCCAACUGCAAGGCACCCGUCACUCAGCGAGAAAAGCAGAAAGGUGCCAAUUCAGAUGGCUGAGCUACUUCGCCUGGGUCCCGACCUGUAUCACCACAGGGUCACAGAAAUGGAACCUUCUCCGUCACACCUCCUGAUGGCAGUCAGCUGUGACCCGCUGAAUCCAGGACAUCAUGCAUUCCAGUUUCAUUUGCGAGAACAUUUCCAGGUCCGGCUGAAGCCUAGUGGCUCCAGCAGAGGUCUCAACCCCUUUGGGAUGCUCAGUGGGAGACAGAAUCAAGGGCCAAUGAUCCAUGACCUAGUCCUAGUGCCCAUGUCAGUUUGUCAAAGGCCCUCAGAGCAGAUUGUGUUUUCCCUGGCGGGGGCUUGACUUCUUUGCUUUAAAAAGGAUUCUUAAGUAUUUAUUGCAGUAAAAUUAACCACCUUCAAAUUUCUGCCAGAUCCCCUGGAGGUAUAUAGCUUAUUAACACAAAACAAAUGUGACACUUGAAAGGCAGGAGACUUGGUUUCUAUUCUCUGGCCCACUACUGACUUAUUGGGUGGCUUCAGGCAAAUAAGUGAAAUCAAGAAGACACCAUCUUCAACAAGCACAGAGUGGGCACCUGGCAGGUGAGCAGUGCCCUGUGAGGUCUGGGGCUGGGUUCGGUGGUGAAACUAGGUCAGCACACACAGCCCUUUGCUGGGGGCCCACUGCCUGGGGUAGGAUUUUUGUAGCUGGGUUCAAGGUGGACAUGCUGAAAUGUGACCCUAAAAUGUUUGUACUCUUGAAGCUGAAGGAGUGGGAAGAAACCUGUCAUUUAAAGAAGGACAGUAUGGCCAGGUGUGGUGGCUCACACCUGUAAUCUCAGCACUUUGGGAGGCCAAGGUGGGAGGAUCACUUGAGUCCAGGAGUUUGAGACUAGCCUGGGUAACAUAGGGAGACCACAUCUCUACAAAACAUUUAAAAAUUAGCCAGGCAUGGUGGGAUGUGCCUGUAGUCCCAGCUACUCAGGAAGUUGAGGCAGGAGGAUCACUUGAGCCCAGGAGGUCAAGGCUACAGUGAGCUAUUGUCAUGCUACU